UCUGGUUGAUCCUGCCAGUAGUCAUAUGCUUGUCUCAAAGAUUAAGCCAUGCAUGUCUAAGUACAAACCUUAAUACGGUGAAACCGCGAAUGGCUCAUUAAAUCAGCUAUGGUUCCUUAGAUCGUCUCAUCCUACUCGGAUAACUGUGGAAAAUCUAGAGCUAAUACGUGCUUACAAGCCCUGACCUCACGGGAGGGGCGCAUUUAUUAGAUCAAAACCAAUCGGGGCUUGCCCCGUCUGCUUGGUGACUCUGGAUAACUUUUGUGCUGAUCGCAUGGCCUCUGCGCUGGCGACGUAUCUUUCAAGUGUCUGCCCUAUCAACUUACGAUGGUAGGUGAUAUGCCUACCAUGGUUAUAACGGGUAACGGGGAAUCAGGGUUCGAUUCCGGAGAGGGAGCCUGAGAAACGGCUACCACAUCUAAGGAAGGCAGCAGGCGCGCAAAUUACCCACUCCCGGCACGGGGAGGUAGUGACGAAAAAUAACGAUACGGGACUCUUUUGAGGCCCCGUAAUUGGAAUGAGUACACUUUAAAUCCGUUAACAAGUAUCUAUUGGAGGGCAAGUCUGGUGCCAGCAGCCGCGGUAAUUCCAGCUCCAAUAGCGUAUAUUAAUGUUGCUGCAGUUAAAAAGCUCGUAGUUGGAUCUGAGGACUCGAAUUGGUGGUGCACCAUACGGUGUUACUGCCGAUUCGGCCUACCUAGUCGGUGCUCGCUCUUGGUGUUCUUAAUUGAAUGCCCUGAGUGCCCGGCAAGUUUACUUUGAAAAAAUUAGAGUGCUCAAAGCAGGCCAUUAGCCGGAAUACUUCAGCAUGGAAUAAUGGAAUAGGACUUCGGUUCUAUUUUGUUGGUUUUCGGAACCCGAGGUAAUGAUUAAGAGAGACAGACGGGGGCAUUCGUACUGCGGUGUUAGAGGUGAAAUUCUUGGAUCGCCGCAAGACGAACAACUGCGAAAGCAUUUGCCAAGAAUGUUUUCAUUAAUCAAGAACGAAAGUCAGAGGUUCGAAGACGAUCAGAUACCGUCCUAGUUCUGACCAUAAACGAUGCCAACUGGCGAUCCGAGAUCGUUUGCUUAUUGACCUCUCGGGCAGCCUCCGGGAAACCAAAGUUUUUAGGUUCCGGGGGAAGUAUGGUUGCAAAGCUGGAACUGUUCAAUUGCAACUCUGCCUGUGACACCAAGUGGUCGGGUUACUUGGUCUGUUCUGGCCCGGAGUCGGUAGGGUUUCCGGCCUUGUGCUCUUUCCUUACUGUUCUCUGUAACGCCGAAGGCGGGGCUUCCACGGUGGGGAAGCGGUUGUACAAAUCCGGCAAAUCCAGCCAAAUGGGUUCCGGACUCUGUCCAACCUGCAACUGGUAACAGCCUCGGCUGGCUAACAUUUGAGCUGGGACUCGCUUGGAGGAGCGAGGAUAAUAUAAACCUCUAUGUGACUGAGGUGAGGAAUCUGGUUCUCGUAAAAUGGCUGGAGAUCCCGAGCCUGUAAGUCAUAAAUUAGUUCCCCCACGAGGGGAGGUGUCGAAUUGAAGCCAGUGCGUGCCCUUACUAGUUUAAGGGAUUGUAUACUUCCUUUGGUGUACCCACCUGGAAGUGCCCAAGGGGUCCUAUCCCUGCACUCCAUCCCCGAUUGGAGUCAGGUGACGGCUCCUUA
rnacentral:rRNA from 1 species